rnacentral:lncRNA from 1 species
GGACUAUAUUUAUGUAUUGUUAAAAUAUAGCAACCUCACUGUGAGCAAUCGAGGCACCGCAGGUCAAAGAACUAUUCACACAACUAUAGUAUUGAGAUAGUCACUAACGAGUGAGUAAGCAUCCAUGUGACUUCUCAUUCUUGAUCAUGCUUAGUAUCAUGUUCUCUAACAAUCACUUGUACUCUCACUCCAGUGUCUCCACACUGUAGACUCAAGAUUCGUCUAUCCAAAAGAAAAUGAUCUGUGCACCAGUCUAGUCGGAUCAAUCACCGUCUCCACG